GGGCCCAUGGUCCAGCGGUUAAGACGUCGCGUUCACAUCGCGAAGAUCGAGAGUUCGAAUCCCUCUGGGCCCA
rnacentral:tRNA from 1 species